UAAGGAAUAUUGCGCAAUGGGGGAAACCCUGACGCAGCAACGCCGCGUGGAGGAUGACACUUUUCGGAGCGUACACUCCUUUUAUCAGGAAAGAAUAAUGACGGUACCUGAUGAAUAAGCACCGGCUAACUCCGUGCCAGCAGCCGCGGUAAUACGGGGGGUGCAAGCGUUACUCGGAAUCACUGCGCGUAAAGGACGCGUAGGCGGAUUAUCAAGUCUUUUGUGAAAUCUAGUGGCUUAACCACUAAACUGCUUAGGAAACGGAUAGUCACGGGUAGGGGAGAGGUAGAUGGAAUUCUUGGUGUAGGGGUAAAAUCCGUAGAGAUCAAGAAGAAUAGCCAUUGCGAAAGCGAUCUGCUGGAACCUAACUGACGUUGAGGCGUGAAAGCGUGGGGAGCAAACAGG
rnacentral:rRNA from 1 species